rnacentral:rRNA from 1 species
GAUGAACGCUGGCGGCGUGCCUAAUACAUGCAAGUCGAGCGAACAGAUAAGGAGCUUGCUCCUUUGACGUUAGCGGCGGACGGGUGAGUAACACGUGGGUAACCUACCUAUAAGACUGGGAUAACUUCGGGAAACCGGAGCCAAUACCGGAUAAUAUUUCGAACCGCAUGGUUCGAUAGUGGAAGAUGGUUUUGCUAUCACUUAUAGAUGGACCCGCGCCGUAUUAGCUAGUUGGUAAGGUAACGGCUUACCAAGGCGACGAUACGUAGCCGACCUGAGAGGGUGAUCGGCCACACUGGAACUGAGACACGGUCCAGACUCCUACGGGAGGCAGCAGUAGGGAGUCUUCCGCAAUGGGCGAAAGCCUGACGGAGCAACGCCGCGUGAGUGAUGAAGGUCUUCGGAUCGUAAAACUCUGUUAUUAGGGAAGAACAUACGUGUAAGUAACUGUGCACGUCUUGACGGUACCUAAUCAGAAAGCCACGGCUAACUACGUG